rnacentral:lncRNA from 1 species
AAUCAUAAACCUAAAUCUAAGGGCUGUUAUAACUUGAAUUUAAAUGAAUGGAUGAGAUGGAGAGAUGGUCUUGGUCGUGGCUGUGCUGUUCCUGAUGGAUAAUUGGUCCAUUUGAAUCUGGUCAAGGGAAGGCUGGCUCCUUAUUGGCUAGCUAAAGGCUCCCAUGAAUCUGCCCACUUCUUUUGCUAGAUACAUGGUCUCCUUUUGCUUUUACUUUACAGCAAGAGACUCUCCUUUCCAGCCUGUCACUCGCCAGCCUCUCCUUUGUCUUCUUCUCUUAAGAGUUUCACCAGUGCCCUAUUUUUGCACCAACUUCAAAUGUGCUCAAAUGGUUGACUGGUGAACUUUCGGGAUGUCUCGGUCCGUACGGAUCCGUACGGUCCGUACAACGUCCGUACCAAAUCCGUACAGCCAGUCCCUAAGUUUGCACACUCGCCCAAAUACUCUUCUAAGUCCCUCCUGGACUUGGCCCUAUCUUUGCACCACACUUCCAUCUUCUCUCUAACUCCUUCAAAGCCCUCACAUGAUCAGUCUAAGUCUUUCCUAGACUUAUCUUCACAAGAUAACUUCUUCAGAACACUUCUGAAGCUUGAUUGAACUCUUCUAGACAUCUUCUAGAGCUUGCCCUAUCAUUGUACAAGCUCCAUCUUCUCUUCAGUUCAAC